rnacentral:rRNA from 1 species
UACAGAGGUCCCCAAGCGUUGUUCGGAUUCACUGGGCGUAAAGGGUGCGUAGGUGGUUGGGUAAGUCUGAUGUGAAAUCUCCGAGCUCAACUCGGAAACUGCAUCGGAUACUAUUCAACUCGAGGGUUGGAGGGGGGACUGGAAUGCUUGGUGUAGCAGUGAAAUGCUUAGAUAUCCUGAGGAACACCAGUGGCGAAAGCGACUUUCUGGCACGAAACUGACGCUGAGGCUCGAAAGCAUGGGUAGCGAACGGGAUUAGAAACCCCUGUAGU